rnacentral:lncRNA from 1 species
CUUCCAGCCUUGGUCUGCCUGGUAACGACAUCUGUCCUGUGGGGCAUUUCUGCCCCCGGGGUACAGGGUACCCCAUGCCCUGUCCUCCCGGAUCCUUCUCUCCCACCGUGGGCCUGGAGGCGGAGGAGCAGUGCCGGCCCUGCCCGGCCGGGCGCUACUGCAGCGCGGCGGGGCUGGCUGGCCUGGCCCAGACCUCGCUCUGCAACCCGGGGUAUGUUUGCCUGGAAGGAAACUCUGUGCCCUGCCCUUCUGAUGGGACUCAUGGAUACAGGUGUCCCAGUGGCUUCUACUGCCCUGCAGGCACUGGGCUAGAAGUGCCCUGUGAGCCUGGCACCUUCAGCCCUGCGCCUGGGGCCAGUGCCUGCCUCCCAUGCCCGGCCGGUAUGGCCUGCAGCAACGCCACCACUGUGGAGCCCCUCAGCUGUCCCAGAGGUUACUACUGUCCAGCUCAGACCGCUGUCCCCCUGCCAUGCCCUGAGGGGACGCUGAACACCUUGGAGGGGGCACUGGCCCCCAGCGCCUGCAAGCUGUGCCCAGUGGGGAGGUACUGCAGAGGAGAUGCCAACUGGGAACCUGACGCACAGAGUAAUUGUCACUGGGCUGAAAUGCAAAGGUUGGACACAUGA